rnacentral:rRNA from 1 species
GACGAACGCUGGCGGCGUGCUUAACACAUGCAAGUGGAGCGACGAACCAGGGCUUGCCCUGGGGCAGAGCCGCGAACGGGUGAGUAACACGUGGGUAACGUGCCCCGAUGACUGGGACAACCCGGGGAAACCCGGGCUAAUACCGGAUGUGCCCCCUCACAUCAGUGAGGUGUGUAAAGGAAGCUUCGGCCUCCGCAUCGGGAUCGGCCCGCGGCCCAUUAGCUUGUUGGUGAGGUAACGGCUCACCAAGGCUGCGAUGGGUAGCUGGUCUGAGAGGACGAUCAGCCACACUGGGACUGAGACACGGCCCAGACUCCUACGGGAGGCAGCAGUGGGGAAUCUUGCGCAAAGCGCGAAAGCGUGACGCAGCAACGCCGCGUGGGGGAAGACGGCCUUCGGGUUGUAAACCCCUUUCAGUUGGGACGAAGGUCGGGCGGUUAACAGCCGUUCCGGCUGACGGUACCUUCACAAGAAGCCCCGGCUAACUACGUG